GUGAACCUGCGAAAGGAUCAUUA
rnacentral:rRNA from 1 species